rnacentral:rRNA from 1 species
GACAGAGGUGCCGAGCGUUAGGCGGAAUCACUGGGCUUAAAGCGUGUGUAGGCGGACCGUUAAGUGCCUUGUGAAAUCCCCCGGCUCAACCGGGGAACGGCUGGGCAUACUGGCGGUCUUGAGCCACCUAGGGGCGAGCGGAACAAGCGGUGGAGCGGUGAAAUGCGUAGAUAUCGCUUGGAGCGCCGACGGUGAAAACAGCUCGCUGGGGGUGUGCUGACGCUGAGACACGAAAGCCAGGGGAGCGAACGGGG